CUGCUUGGUAUUAUAAUAUUAAUUCAUAGAAGAUAGAAUUGAGGAUUUAUAUAAUAUUAUAAUACAAGAAAAAAAGUGGAAUAUAAAAGAGAAAGUAGCUGGCAAUUGAAUUGAAAUUGAAAUUGAAGACCUGGCAUUGGAGGACAUGGCAUGCAUAUGAUUAUAUAUAUAUAUAUUAUUAAAAGUAGACAUUGGGGCCAUGAUUUGAAUUAUAUAUAUAUUUAUAUAUAAUUUGGAGAAAAGAAGAGAAGUUGCAUGCGUGCAUGUAUAAAAUAUUACAGAGGAAGAAUUGAGAAGAUAGAAGAAUGCGAGUAGCAGCCAAUACAUUAUAAAAGGCAAAUGAAUGGAGAGUAGAAAAAAAGAGAGAGGAGGAGAACAAGCAAAGAGCCAUCGCAUAGCAACAGUUGAAAUGUCGCAGGGAGUAUUCUCUCCAAUUCUCUUUCAACUUUUAUUUGUAUUUUUAUUUUAAUGUUUAGCUAAAUUAUUUUAACUAGAGUUUGGAUGAAUUUUAAUUUUAAGAUUAUGUUAGUAUUAUUUAUUUAAUUCAAUUCAAAACUCACUAUUAUUUAUAUAAGAAAUUUAAAUUAUUGUGCUUAAUGCUUUAAAAGAUUGAUCAUAUUUUAAUAAAUUAAUGAUUUAUACAUGAUUGACUAAAGAAUUAUUAUAAAUUAGAUCCAUAGAUAAUAAAAAUCACAUGAUUGACUAUGAUAUCAACUCAUGUGUGGAAUCGAGAAAAUUUAGUGAAUCAAAUCAUUUUAUAAGAUUAUAGGUUUUCAAAGAAAUUAAUGUUUAUUUAUUCUUUUGACAUCCGCUCAGAAAUUUGACGAUAAAAUUGAAUUAAUAAAGAAUUAAUAUGACUUGAGAAACUUAUUAAUUAAUUAAGAAAAAUUUACUCACUACAUGCAAAUAAUUUUAAAAUACUGUAAAAGUAUUUUUGGCUUUAAAUCAAGUUGAAAAGAUAAUUACAUAACUUAGACUAAAUGAAAUCUAAACCCUGUUUGCAUUCACUUAUUAAUUUUUCUCAUAAAAUAAUUUAGUUUUACAUUAAUUUCUUCUUAUUAGUUUUUAUUCUUCUUUUUACUUAUCCAAUUAAUUAAUAAAGUUCAACUGAGGCUAAAUUAAAAUUGUUUUGGUAUUGUGAUCUAGUCCUCGUGGAAUCAACACUCAUUUCAUCAUUAUAUGCAUAUUUGACUAGAGUACACUUGAUCGAAUUAAUUGUGCAUAAAUUACAUAUCACAUGUGUCCAAGGCGAGUCUUUUGUCUGUUGAUGUUAUUGAAUGUCGAACAUUUUAACAGUCUUCAACAUCCGCGUGUGUUCGGGGUAAGUCUUUCAUCCGUUAACGCAAGUGACCCCCGAACAUCUUAACGAUUUUCAACAUCCCUGUGUGUUCGAGACGAGUCCUUCGUCCAUCGACUCAAGUGACCCCCAAAUAUCUUAACAGUCUUUUUGUCAUAAUGUCGCGGCUCCCUAGUUUUGUGUGUACAUGUUUGCUAGAACUGUGGGUGAUGGCUCUUGAAUUUUUUUGUGCGCUUAUCAUCCUAUAGAAUAUUCAAGGGUUAUGAUUUCUUUUGAGAGCUUGAGGCCUUCAAAUGGAAAAACGUGCUUUGUGGAUCCUUGUUUCAUUGGAUUAGUAAGAACUCUUAUUCUCUUCUUGUGCUUUUCGCCUUAAGUUAUGUCUUUCGUCUCCAGGGUAGUUAGUCUGUUCCUCCCCAUGCUUUUGCAUGUAAAUGAAAAUUAAGUCUCCAUUACCCAAAUUUAGACCCAUAUUGGUUUCUUUAGCAACCCAGAUCUGUUCAUUCAACAAUCCAAAUGAUCCGUUCCAGAUCUAGAUACUUCGAUUCCACCUAUUUCAAUCAUUGGUUCCGCUUGAUGCGCUAGACAACUAUCGCACCAGCUUUUUUCUCGAAUGUGGAAUUAGAUUUGUUUCAAUGACCCACUUCAAAUCUAAAUCAUAUUUCCUUUGUGAGAUGUCUUCUCCUUUAGCCCCCAGAUCCAGGUGAGAGAAACUAAGAUCUUUAUUGUUAUAAAGCGAGUUUCCUUCUUUGAUAACUUUGAUCUGGAAUACAUUAAAUAUUGUGGAAAUGGCAAAAAAUAACCACUAUUCAAAUAUAAAAUUCGUUUCUAACCCAUUUUUUUAAAAAAAAAAUGUUUUUGUACUUUCAAAUAAACUAAUUACCUGAUAUAGCCACUUUACCAGAUUUGACCAUUAUUUUAUUUAAAAAAUCAAAAAGAAAUAAAAAUAACCACAACAAUAACCAAAUACUAAAAUACCUUCACCCCCUCAUUACCCAUUUCACCCACCCACAUCAUCCCUCUCACUACAGCAACCGCCCGUCGUCGUGACAGCCACUUGCUGCCGCCGCCGUGACAGCCAUUUGACCGCCGCCGUGACCACCACUGUUACCAUCAACGUCGAUCUCAUCUUCACUGAACAAGGUUAGAGUUUUUUGCAUGAUUUUAAUGAACAAAAAAUUGCUAGAAAUGGUCUCCGACGAAGGUUCGUCGUCAGCGACAAUGGAGACCGACCGGGCUUCGUCGCGAACGAAGCCCCAUGGUCGGGCUUCGUUCGCGACGAAGCCCGCUAGGGGAAGAAGCCUGAACGAGCUUUUUUGCAGAGACGAAGCCCCAAGGAAGCCGAAGUCCCAUCGGCUUUGUGGUAAGGGGCUUCGUUGCAGAGAUGAAGCUCGUUUGGCUUCGUUGUAAAACGGGCUUCGUCUGCAACGAAGCCCUAGCGCUUCGUUUCCCUUCGAUGCAGAGACGAAGCCCAAUCAAGCUUCGUCUACAACAAGCCCGAUCGGGCUUCGUCUCUACAUCGAAGGGAGACAAAGCCCAAUGGGUCGUGACCAAGCCCCAAUGCCCAAUCGAGCUCCCCCGACCGUUGGGCUGUGACGCAGCCCGAUUAUCACUGCCCAACGAAGCCCGAUCAAGUUCAGGUUGCGAUGAUUGGGCUACGACAAUUGGGCUUCUUCUACUUUUACUUGUGCUUUUACAUGGUCACUGGAUAAGACAAUUGUUGUUUUUGUAUUUUUUUUUCUUACAAAUGGCUGAACAACAAAUUAUAAAAUUUACUUAUGUUCAUGCUCACUGGAAAUUACCACCCGGAAUGCGAGUUACUACUUAUUGUGGGAUCAAACACCUUGAGGCGAUGCAUCGUGCUUUAGACCGAUACAAGUUAUUGGAUAAAUUCCUACACGGCCCAUUAAUUAGGACAUUUCUUGAAGAUGCCUUUGUCCCUCCAUUUGACUGCACCACAAUUGAUAUAUCAUGUUCUACUUAGGAAGGUGACAUUUUUGGGUGCCCGCCACGAUGAGAUAUGGUUUGAGAUUGGCGGCACACCAUACAGGUACGGGAGGCAGAAGUUCAUACUUAUUAGUGGAUUCCGAUUUGUGGCUAUUGAUAGGGAAAGCCUUGAAGCGAAACCUGUUGAGCCGGAGAGUUUAUGUGCUCAACUAUUUCCACAACAUAAGAAAGGGGUGACUGGAGACGACAUUGAAUUACUUAUUAGUACCAAAGAGGACAUAGUUUCAGAGGAUACCCUGAAACUGAUUUACAUUGCUGUGGUCGACAUGUUUUUGUUGGGCCAGGAUGAGCGCGGGCAUGUGGAUGAUUUCUUGUGGACUAUGGCCGAGGAUUUACACGCAUUUGAGAUGUUCCCUUGGGGCACGUAUGUCUACAGUAAGAGUCAACAUUACAUCCGAUUGGCCACGAAAGAAAGAAAACUGACUGGUGAAUGUGGGAAGAAAAUCAAGCUUUAUGGUUUUGUAUGGGCGUUUCAGAAUAAAUGGGCCGUCAGACUUUCCGAUGCAGAUAUUCCAAGAUGCAGAAAAUGGCUAUCCAAAAAAAGGCCACAGAUAAAAAAUUACGACGACUGUCUUACGAAGGAAGCACGAGGAUUGAGUCCGACUCUUGAGCCUACUGAUGACAAGUGGGAAACAAAUUUUUGGAGGUCUUUUAACCCUCAACACUCAGUUGGGGUUGACGCCUAUAAAUUUGGGGGUGAAGAGGAUGACAGGGAUUAGGACGAGGCGAGUAGGAUACAUUUAGAUGAGGAGGGAAAUGAGGAGAAUAGGGAGGAGAAGGAUAAGGAGGAGGCAAGAUUUCCUGAUAGUUCGUACCAUGGACAAUACGAGGCAUGGGUAUGAUUUUUAUUAUAAUAAUAAUUUUAAUUUAUAUUUUUUGUAAUUGUUUAUAUAUUUUUUAUAUGAGAGAAAUGAGGAGAAGGAUAAGGAGGAGGCAAGAUUCCCUGAUAGUUCGCACCAUGGACAAUACGAGAUCACCGAGAUGUUGAAACAAACUCUAGAUAUGUUGCGGAGAAUGGAUGAGGAAAUGAGUCAGGUGAUGACACAGUUGUUGAGACUAGAGAGGGUGCAAGAAUCACUAGAGAUGGGGCAAGCAGCACUAGAGAUGGGGCAGGCAACACUGUGUGCUCAUCUACGCAUCCCGCAUAUUUCCCCAGAUCACAACGAUCAUGCUUAUGAGUAGUCCCAAGGUGGUGAUCAGAUAGAUCAUGAUCAUCACGAUGAGGAGCAGGUAUCUACAUAUAGACCACAGGAGGAUGAAGUGGUUAAGGUCGACAGGUGACCUAUGCAAGAUAGAUUGUCAUCGCAGUUUCGUCGACCACUCUUCACCGAUCCAACAAAAUAUAAAAGGAGAAAGAAGGAUACCGCUUUGAAGGGGUCAGACGUGGACCCAACGCCGCCGGUACUAGACCCAAUGCAGCCGGACAUGGAGAUAAUGCCCCCUGAGGGUUAUAUUGAGUUCAUAGGUUCCAACAAAAAUAUUAGUCUUCACAUCGGUUUCAUUCUGAACCUAACACCGGAUGACUUCCGAAACAUAGAGAAUGAGGUCAACUGGUUGGAGGGUUACCAUAUCGAUAGUUACAUGUGUUGCCUGACGUAUACAGUCUCAGUGUCAAUAUGACACAAACUAUGCUAUCAUGUCAACCUCGCUUUUUGCAUCUAUAGUAAGAUUUUGGGAACAAGAGUACGAGGGCAACAAGAGAGUUUUUGCACCUUCUAUCGCGUCUGUCCCGGAAGAAUGGACCGGUUUCAUCGACGGGCGCACUGACGGGAGUCUCCCUUGGUGUUACUCCCGUGUAAUGUAGCGAAUUCUCAUUGGUUUCUGUUAAAGAUUUUGCUUGAAAGAUAGGAGAGCUGUCAUAUAUGACUCCAAUGCCAUGAAUGAAGACAGCCGUAGAAGUAGGGCCGAAUCUAUACAACCACUUGUGAGCUUGUUACCCAUUUUACUAAAGAGAGGUGCAUAUUAUGAACAUGUAACUGCAACUGCGACCUUAGACAGAGAUUGGGAAAUGAAGAAUACUGAUCCUCAGAAAGUGCCUCAACAACUAGACAAAGCCAGUUGCGGGUGCUACGUUAUCAAAUACAUCGAGGAUAUACUGAGGCAUAAUGAGGAUCACUAGCAGACGCACCCAACUCUGGAUGUCCAUACCCUCUGUAGACAAAUUGGCAUAUUUUUGUAUAGACAUAGCACGGUAGUAUACUUGUAGAUUAAUAGAUUAGAAGAUUUUUCGUUUUGUGUUUUUAUUUUCAUCUAGUUCAAAUGUUGUAUAUUUUUGUAUAGACAUAGCAAAUAGCAAAUUGUGUAUUGCUUAUUUGAUGAAAUGUGAUUUGCGGUGUUG